CAGUGUCCGCGUCUGCUCUUGGCAUUAGAGUAACGCUGGCCUCACAGAACGAGUCAGGAAACGUGUCCUCUGCUGUUUUCCAAAAGAGAUUAUGAAUUGGUAUUCAUCUUCAUGAAAUAUGUGAUUCUCAGAUUUAUAUGGAAAGACAACGGAACUAGAAGAGCCAGGAUUGUUUGUCAGAAAAGAAGAAUGCAUUGGGAGGACUGUUGUUACGUGAUUUCCAGAACCACGGUAAAGGUGCAGAAACCAAGAGAAAGUAAUUGCCGCGUCCGCAAGCAGGAGAUAUUGACUCAUCUCGGGUUAAGCCAGACUUUAAGGGUGACUCACUGUGCCUUCAGAGAUGGAGGCUGGAAGUGUGGUGCAGGACGGGGAAGCUCCAAGAUCAGAGGGUGACCCGGCUCACACGUUUGUCAAGACAUGGGACCUCCAGUGACCACCGUGCUGCUGAGUGAACUCUCCCACCAGCUUUUGUUUUUAUUUUUACUUUUUAGCUAUUCCUCCCCAGCCAUCGUGGUGCUGCACGCCCCUUGUAGACAUGUUGACUAAUACAGAAAAUGAUAAAGAGAUUGUAGGAAAUCACCCAUAGCUGUCCUCCCCACUGGUAACAUCGGCAUAUUCCCUUCCGGUCCCCUUCCUUUCUCAUCCGUUCUUUAUGUAUGAGAUCUUUAUGUAUGCUCUGUUCUCCACGCCUUUUACGACUUAACCCUAUACCAGUAGGAUUGUCCUGGGACAUAAAAAUUCUGUAAGCAUCAUUUUAAAUGGCUGCAUGACAUGCUGUCAAAAUCAUAUGCCUAUUUUACUUAGCAAUGGGCCUAUUUUUGGGGAUGUGCAAGGUGUUUCCACUUUUAAAUUAUUAUAAAUGAAUCUGAAAAGAACAUGUUGGUGCACAAGCCUUUAGGACAGAUUCCAGGAGUGGGAUGACCGGAAGGACUGGUUUCCCUCAAUCCUGGGCAGACUGAGCCUUUCCCCAGCCUCCAGUCCUUUGGCCCCAUUAUGAGCUUCAGGCCUAUUCUUAAGUGAGUUACUAUAUCCCACCUCAGGACUUUCUCCAAGUCUGUGCCAGUUCACGUUCCCACUAGCAACCGGAUGGGCAUUCAGGUUAUUUGGAAAAGCCACCUGCAAGCUAGAAAAAUCUUUAUGUUGCUUUGAUCGCAAGGUAAGUUGUGCACCCCGAUCCCCAUCACUACCAGUCAGUUCCUGGAGCCUGUCCCCCAAAUAAUGACAAUAUGAACUGUCCCUAGAGAAUCAACAAUUCCUUGGCGAAUGCCAACUUGUUCUGAGUGUUCCGUGUAUAUAAUCUCAUCCUCACGGCAGCCCUGAGAGAAAGUGACAUUCCCAUUCUAUAGAUGAAGAAACAGGGGCUCAGAGAAGAGAAGGCAUCUGUCCAAGGGCACACGAGUGGGAGGCAGGGAGAGGUGUAGACCCAGAUGGUCUGGCCCCUAAACCCCCGCUGGUGCUGCACAGCACAGGGGUCAAGGAAGGGGGCAGAGCCCUGUGACUAAGUGCCAAGCUGGGGAGUCAGGGGUGAGUGUGAGGUGGGGUUGCUCUGAUUUUGGUUCUGCUUGUGGUUUUGGCCCCACAACCUGCGUCAUCCGCUACUGAGAUCGAGGCCGACUGGUGCCUGAGGGCUUCUGCUCAAGGCUGUGUCCCUAGAAGGACAGAUCUUAUAAUUCAUUUUUAUUUUCAGUCUUUGAAGUAUAACUGACAGAUUGACACAUUGUGUAAGUUUAAGCUACACAACAUGGUGAUUUGAUAUAUGUAUGUAUUGCAAAAUGAUGAUCACAAUAAGGUUAGGUUUUUUCCUAAGGUUUUAUUUAUUUAUUUGAGAGAGAGAGAACGAGUGGUAGGGAGGGGCAG